AUGCAUUUCCCAAGGCACCUGGGCCGGGGCGCCGUGGGAGCACUGAGCGCUCCGGCAGCGCGCUGGCAGCUCCCGCACCUUCCCUUGGCAUCGCCACGAUUAUUUGGAAACAUAAUAACAGCACCCUGGGAGCAAAGAAGGACAGCGACAGAGAUUUCCAGGCUCAGAGGGGACGGGAGCUUCCCACCAUCACGGGCGAGCCCUGGCUGCCCACGCAGGGACCGUGAGGCCAGGCGUUUGAAGGCGUUCGCUGAGCUGCACGGCGGCGUGCAAACUCCUGUCUUCCUUUCCAUCGGCUGUCACUCUCCCUGUCAAUCCGCUCACGGCGAGCUAAAACACAGAAGGGGCCGUUCAGUCCAGGAUUCCAGACCUGCCUCCCGGCAGCUCAUGGCCCUUUCCAGGUGGCCCUGUUUGUAAGUGGCUUUGUCUCACCCUGGCUCCUGGACAGCACUCCAUGGGCUCCCUGGGCCUGUGAGCAGCACGGCACGGGGGGCAUGGUCCUCCCGCCUGCCUGCAGCCUGGCCCGUGCCCCUGAGUGCCCAUGAGCGGUGUCCUCGCCGGCCGCCACCCGGAACCACUCCAGACUCUGCGGCUGAGCCUCUGUGUGCACAGGCGAGCUCCCUCCUCCGCCGGAGAUGCUGCAGCACCAGAAACGUCCUGGUGUCAACCUGAUCCCACACCUACCUACGCGCCAGGUCACAGUCGAAACACAGGUGCACCGAAUGUAGCCUAAAGAUCCCCUUCAGGCCCCGGGUACAAGGUGCGUGUGGAACGUGAGUGGAUUUGGUCUUCAUGCUCAAGCCCCAUCCCCAACACAGGUGUCUCGUGCACCUGCA
rnacentral:lncRNA from 1 species